UUUCCGUAGGCCAACAAAAAUAAAAAGAAGAACAUACGUGAGGUGAAACAGAUCUGUUAUGUGUUAGAUUUCAUCUUAUUUCUAAACUGUUCGUAAGACUCUGCGUUGUGUAUUUCUCCCUCGUAGUAGUAAUUCUUGAAGUGGAAAUCAAAGCAACUUGCCAGGUUGGAUCAGAGGGUUGAAUAGGUUUAUUGGAGGAUGUAAUACAGCACAGGUACAGACUCAGGUGGGAUAGUCUCAGUGUAGGAGGUGAGGAGCAGUCUCCAGACGUGCUCCUUGGCUGUCCAUCGCUCUUCUCACCAAACCAAAGGGAUUGGGCCAGUAUCAUAGGAAAGAAAGCGUGAAUAACAAAAUAACAGUCUCCCUUGAUAAGGUAUAUGGCCCUGGCUAUGUCCCAGACGACAGGGUUGGUUCGUCCUUGUUGGGACAUCACAAAUGGCAGAAUGUUGGAAAUAACACCUCGUACAGUAGGAGACACUAAAAUACACCAACAUUCUACAUUCCUCCCUCUUGAUCAUAUUAAACAUAGUUUAAAGAUCACCCUUUAAAUGAGAAUUCAGUUUAUCUACUGGUAUACAAUUAACAAUUAUCUAAAUCAACAAAAUGAAGCAUAAAAGGCAACAGUAAACUUAAAAAAUUAUACUCAUCAUCCACAAGUAAACCAGGUGUAGGCUAAUUCAAAAAUAAAAAACGGUUACUCAUGAUUAAACCAAAACAGAUUUAAAUUGUAAAAUAAAGGAAAUGGAGUGUCCAGACAGCGCCCUCUGCUGGGCAGUGAAGCUCCACCUUCCUCUGACAGCUCUCACUGUCCCCAGCAGUAAAGUGGUUCUGUUGGUCUGAACAACACUAAAGGGCCCAGAGGAAGGCUUAGCCUUAGAAACGGGGGGAAGUUUGGGGCCCCAGACCUUACGACGGGGGGGGGGGGGGGGGGGGGGGGGGGGGGGGGGGGGGGGGGGGGGGGGGGGGGCCCUGAGGGGGGCAACAAGAUCGGGGCAGUCCCCGGGGGGGGCGGUUGGGGGGCGGUCAUCCGGUGAAACACACAGGGAGAUAACUUGAUGACCACAUAGAGCAUGAUAACGGAAAGGACCAAUGGCAGUGCCAUCUAGACUAUCUGAGACAACAAAGACCCACCCAG
rnacentral:lncRNA from 1 species